UACGUAGGGGGCAAGCGUUGUCCGGAUUAUUGGGCGUAAAGAGCUCGUAGGCGGCUCAGUAAGUCAGGUGUGAAAACUCCAGGCUCAACCUGGAGACGCCACUUGAUACUGCUGUGGCUAGAGUCCGGUAGGGGAGCAUGGAAUUCCCGGUGUAGCGGUGAAAUGCGCAGAUAUCGGGAGGAACACCAAUGGCGAAGGCAGCUCGCUGGGACGUUACUGACGCUGAGACGCGAA
rnacentral:rRNA from 1 species